CUGCUUAUAAUCUCAAAACUUCAGAAGUCCAAGGUUCAGGCUCAGGUCUCUGUGGUUGCGCAGUGUGUCUUUUUACCAAAAGGAACACCUCAUGCACUUUACAAGGAGCUCCUUCAGGAAAGGAUGGCACCUCGUGUAGAGGAGAGAUCUCUGAUCCUCUGAUCUUUUCCAAAAGGAGAAAAGUAAAGGUUUGAAUGUAUUUUUAAUUCUUGGCAUUUCAGAACAGAAAUAAUCUGGUAUUAAGUUGCUAAAAGAUGCCUACAAGCUUUCAUAGGAGAAACAUCUAAU
rnacentral:lncRNA from 1 species